GCUUCUUGUUUUUGGCCUUUUUUCACCCAAAACUGUGAAAAAAAAGCUGAAGCUGAAUGUUUACCAAACACAAAAAAGCUUCCAACUUUUUUUGAUAUCGACUUUUUUUCAGAAUCACCUCAGUACGAAACCAGGCCUAAAACUGACCAUUUUGUUCUUCCUUUGUUUUAGCAAUACUAUGCUCUCUACAAGGUUUACAAAAAACAAACGCGCCUCUGAAACAAGUAGCCCAUUAAAAUGUGUUCCAUUCGGUUUAAUAAUCAACCUACACUCCAGUUGGACUCUCGUAGCCGAACGUUGCAAUAAUUAAUAUUUCUAUGGUGGGGAAUCUAGCAUGAUGGUAAAAGAAAUGGAAUUCGAAGGAACAGGUGGGCUGAAAAGGAAGUAAUAAAAUAAAGUGAUUUAAAGUGAGAUAAGAGAGUGAGCUCUCGGCACUGGGACUAGACCUGGUAAUUCCUGACACGACUCGAUAAUUCGACACGAUAUGACACGAAAUUAACAGGUGUUUGGGUCGACACGAUAACGAAUCGGGUUGUUAUUGGGUAACCCGAUAAGCACCUGGUUGGAGUCUUUGGUUGCGGGUUGCAGAAAGAAUAUGGAGAGCUCAGGAGGAAACCUUGUAAAACGGGUUGUCCUCCCUCUUUAUUUCUUCACGUAUACUGUUGUAUGUAUUUGUAUAAUUAUGUGUAACUAAUUUCUUUUUGUUCCACACAAAUUAUCUGUAACAAAUUUGUAUCAUUAGAUCGUAGUACUAAGUGACAAUUAAUUCAUAGUUAUUGUC